rnacentral:rRNA from 1 species
UUUUAGAUGGGCUCACGGCCUAUCAGCUCGUUGGUGAGGUAAUGGCUUACCAAGGCGACGACGGGUAGCCGGCCUGAGAGGGUGACCGGCCACACUGGGACUGAGACACGGCCCAGACUCCUACGGGAGGCAGCAGUGGGGAAUAUUGCACAAUGGGCGCAAGCCUGAUGCAGCGACGCCGCGUGAGGGAUGACGGCCUUCGGGUUGUAAACCUCUGUUAGCAUCGAAGAAGCGAAAGUGACGGUAGGUGCAGAGAAAGCGCCGGCUAACUACGUGCCAGCAGCCGCGGUAAUACGUAGGGCGCGAGCGUUGUCCGGAAUUAUUGGGCGUAAAGAGCUUGUAGGCGGUUGGUCGCGUCUGCUGUGAAAGGCCGGGGCUUAACUCCGGUUUUGCAGUGGGUACGGGCUAACUAGAGUGCAGUAGGGGAGACUGGAAUUCCUGGUGUAGCGGUGGAAUGCACAGAUAUCAGGAGGAACACCGAUGGCGAAGGCAGGUCUCUGGGCUGUAACUGACGCUGAGAAGCGAAAGCAUGGGGAGCGAACAGGAUUAGAUACCCUGGUAGUCCAUGCCGUAAACGUUGGGCACUAGGUGUGGGGGACAUUCCACGUUUUCCGCGCCGUAGCUAACGCAUUAAGUGCCCCGCCUGGGGAGUACGGCCGCAAGGCUAAAACUCAAAGGAAUUGACGGGGGCCCGCACAAGCGGCGGAGCAUGCGGAUUAAUUCGAUGCAACGCGAAGAACCUUACCAAGGCUUGACAUGCAUUAGAUCGCGUCAGAGAUGGCGUUUCCCUUCGGGGCUGGUGUACAGGUGGUGCAUGGUUGUCGUCAGCUCGUGUCGUGAGAUGUUGGGUUAAGUCCCGCAACGAGCGCAACCCUCGUUCUAUGUUGCCAGCGGUUCGGCCGGGGACUCAUAGGAGACUGCCGGGGUCGAACUCGGAGGAAGGUGGGGAUGACGUCAAAUCAUCAUGCCCCUUAUGUCUUGGGCUUCACGCAUGCUACGAUGGCCGGUACAGAGGGUUGCGAUACUGUGAGGUGGAGCUAAUCCCUUAAAGCCGGUCUCGGUUCGGAUUGGGGUCUGCAACUCGACCCCCAUGAAAGUUCGGAGUCGCUUAGUGAAUCGCGGAUUCGGCGAACGCUGCGGUAAAGACGUUUCC